rnacentral:misc_RNA from 1 species
CUGCCCUCCAGCGCGGCUGGGUCUUGGGUGCUGUCCCUCACGGGACACGCCCGAAAGGCAGUGGCGGCGCCGCGUCGGUCCUCGAGCGUAUGGAGCAUUGUCACCGGCUCGGGAGGGACCUGCGGACGUCAGUCUUCCACCGAUUGGCCUCUCCGGGGGCUGGUCACCUAAC